GAAUAUUGGACAAUGGGCGAAAGCCUGAUCCAGCCAUGCCGCGUGUGUGAAGAAGGUCUUCGGAUUGUAAAGCACUUUAAGUUGGGAGGAAGGGUAGUAACUUAAUACGUUGCUACUUUGACGUUACCGACAGAAUAAGCACCGGCUAACUUCGUGCCAGCCGCCGCGGUAAUACGAAGGGUGCAAGCGUUAAUCGGAAUUACUGGGCGUAAAGCGCGCGUAGGUGGUUCAGUAAGUUGGAUGUGAAAUCCCCGGGCUCAACCUGGGAACUGCAUCCAAAACUGCUGAGCUAGAGUACGGUAGAGGGUAGUGGAAUUUCCUGUGUAGCGGUGAAAUGCGUAGAUAUAGGAAGGAACACCAGUGGCGAAGGCGACUACCUGGACUGAUACUGACACUGAGGUGCGAAAGCGUGGGGAGCAAACAGGA
rnacentral:rRNA from 1 species